UUAUUUGAUAGUACCUUACUACUUGGAUAACCGUGGUAAUUCUAGAGCUAAUACAUGCUAAAAACCCCGACUCACGAAGGGGUGUAUUUAUUAGAUAAAAAACCAACGCCCUUCGGGGCUUCUUGGUGAUUCAUGAUAACUUUACGGAUCGCAUGGCCUUGCGCCGGCGACGGUUCAUUCAAAUUUCUGCCCUAUCAACUUUCGAUGGUAAGGUAUUGGCUUACCAUGGUUUCAACGGGUAACGGGGAAUUAGGGUUCGAUUCCGGAGAGGGAGCCUGAGAAACGGCUACCACAUCCAAGGAAGGCAGCAGGCGCGCAAAUUACCCAAUCCCGACACGGGGAGGUAGUGACAAUAAAUACUGAUACAGGGCUCUUUUGGGUCUUGUAAUUGGAAUGAGUACAAUUUAAACCUCUUAACGAGGAACAAUUGGAGGGCAAGUCUGGUGCCAGCAGCCGCGGUAAUUCCAGCUCCAAUAGCGUAUAUUAAAGUUGUUGCAGUUAAAAAGCUCGUAGUUGAAACUUGGGUCUGGCUGGCAGGUCCGCCUCACCGCGUGUACUUGUCCGGCCGGGCCUUCCUUCUGGAGAACCUCAUGCCCUUCACUGGGCGUGUUGGGGACCAGGACUUUUACUUUGAAAAAAUUAGAGUGUUCAAAGCAGGCCUUUGCUCGAAUACGUUAGCAUGGAAUAAUAGAAUAGGACGUGCGGUCCUAUUUUGUUGGUUUCUAGGACCGCCGUAAUGAUUAAUAGGGACAGUCGGGGGCAUCAGUAUUCAAUUGUCAGAGGUGAAAUUCUUGGAUUUAUUGAAGACUAACUACUGCGAAAGCAUUUGCCAAGGAUGUUUUCAUUAAUCAGUGAACGAAAGUUAGGGGAUCGAAGACGAUCAGAUACCGUCGUAGUCUUAACCGUAAACUAUGCCGACUAGGGAUCGGGCGAUGUUCUUUUU
rnacentral:rRNA from 1 species